CUCCACAACCCUUAUCACCAUCUUUUUCAUUCCCCAAUUAACUCACACCCAGUUUCAUAGAUUUUCUAUACUACCCCAACAUUACUCUCUCCAGGUUUAUGAGACUCUAGAGCGUCGAUUAGUUGUUACAGAAGCGGCUCAAAGGUUGAGACUUCCACUAAUAUCUAAAGAUGGGGAAAUUGAUGAGGAAGAAAUUGAGAAAUGGAGUAUUAUGUCACGGAGUCCGCUUGAUAGUACUAGUACCAGUCUCACUAUCAGCUCGAGUUGAAACUCGUUGAAUUAUGCAAAUAGUGCUGCAACCAGUGGUGCAGCUGCAAAUAAUACUGGUGAUUCAGGAGAACCUGAUGUUGGUGGUGUGCCUAAUCGUUUUCUUGGAAUAACACCUGCUUAUUUGUGGCAAACUCAACUUCAACGAGCACCAUUGUCAAUGGUAUGAAAACUUUGUUUGAUGAUUGUAGAUGGAAGUUUUAAGACCUUUAGUUACAAAAGAGGCCCUUGUUUUAGUUGUCUUAAACUUUCUUACAGGAUCACGACACAUUUCUAAAAUUUUUGUUAACUCUUUCAAGUGAGAUUGAUCUCUUAAUUAUUCAAAA